GACGAACGCUGGCGGCGUGCUUAACACAUGCAAGUCGAACGGAAAGGCCCUGCUUUUGUGGGGUGCUCGAGUGGCGAACGGGUGAGUAACACGUGAGUAACCUGCCCUUGACUUUGGGAUAACUUCAGGAAACUGGGGCUAAUACCGGAUAGGAGCUCCUGCUGCAUGGUGGGGGUUGGAAAGUUUCGGCGGUUGGGGAUGGACUCGCGGCUUAUCAGCUUGUUGGUGGGGUAGGGGCUUACCAAGGCUUCGACGGGUAGCCGGCCUGAGAGGGUGACCGGCCACAUUGGGACUGAGAGACGGCGCAGACUCGUACGGGAGGCAGCAGUGGGGAGUAUUGCACAAUGGGCGGAAGCCUGAUGCAGCAACGCCGCGUGCGGGAUGACGGCCUUCGGGUUGUAAACCGCUUUCGCCGGUGACGAAGCGGGAGUGACGGUAAUGGGUAAAGAAGCACCGGCUAACUACGUG
rnacentral:rRNA from 1 species